rnacentral:rRNA from 1 species
AACGAACGCUGGCGGCAUGCCUAACACAUGCAAGUCGAACGAGACCUUCGGGUCUAGUGGCGCACGGGUGCGUAACGCGUGGGAAUCUGCCCUUGGGUUCGGAAUAACAGUUAGAAAUGACUGCUAAUACCGGAUGAUGACUUCGGUCCAAAGAUUUAUCGCCCAAGGAUGAGCCCGCGUAGGAUUAGCUUGUUGGUGAGGUAAAAGCUCACCAAGGCGACGAUCCUUAGCUGGUCUGAGAGGAUGAUCAGCCACACUGGGACUGAGACACGGCCCAGACUCCUACGGGAGGCAGCAGUGGGGAAUAUUGGACAAUGGGCGAAAGCCUGAUCCAGCAAUGCCGCGUGAGUGAUGAAGGCCUUAGGGUUGUAAAGCUCUUUUACCCGGGAUGAUAAUGACAGUACCGGGAGAAUAAGCCC